GCUGAAGAACGCAGCGAAAUGCGAUAAGUAAUGUGAAUUGCAGAAUUCAGUGAAUCAUCGAAUCUUUGAACGCACAUUGCGCCCCUUGGUAUUCCGAGGGGCAUGCCUGUUCGAGCGUCAUUAUAACCCCUCAAGCUCAGCUUGGUGUUGGGGCCUGCUGCACUGGCAGCCCUUAAAAUCAGUGGCGGCGCCAUCUGGCUCUAAGCGUAGUAAUUCUUCUCGCUAUGGAGUCCUGGUGGAUGCUUGCCAUCAACCCCCAAUUUUUCUAUGGUUGACCUCGGAUCAGGUAGGGAUACCCGCUGAACUUAAGCAUAUCAAUAAGCGGAGGA
rnacentral:misc_RNA from 1 species